AUCAACCCGUUAAAAUGGAACUUAAGGACCCGGCCAGAUUGUUCAUGAACAAUCUCCCUGCAUAGUUUUACAAAAAAGCAGAUUGGUAAUAUUUAUACUCCACAAAUGCAAGGAACUAUUAGUCUGAAAGGGAAAUAUUUGUUCUCUAUGGUGGUGAUGGUGACCCACCAAAGACUUUGAAGUUUCAAGAAAUUGUAAAUUAGAAAGAUGAUGGCGACUUGAUGAGAGUACUGACAGGAACGGUGUAUUGGUAACGGAAAUUGAUGGUCUCUGUGCAGUGAAUAUGUGUAGAUCUAUGGUUAGAUGCAUCAGGCUGGGCAAAGGUCGCUUUCUUUUUGUCCCCCCUCAUUUUGUCCAGCCUGCUCGAGAAAUGGCUUUUGUUGAGCAUUUGAAAGCAACGGCUUGUAAUCCAUUUUUUUCUAGAAAUCGGAGGUAAUUGCUUGGAAUCUGUCUUGGCUUCUAAUGAUGGAUCCAACUUUGUUUGCUUGCGGCGGUAGUUCUUUAUUUUUUUAUUUUGGUGUAGAAAGAGGUUGAUGAGUGUAACAGUCUAAAACCUCAUCCAAAAUGGCUAGCCGGAAGGUAUUAUUUGGGUUCCACUAUCUUGUAUAGGUACCCAAGAUCUAUUCAGCAUAUAACCAUGCGAGACUAAACACACGCCUUCUUUAUAGUAAGUUGGUAGAGCAUUCGAGCUAAAGAACUGUUGUAUCGCCUCCACCAUAUCCUGUCUGACGACCGUCCAAUACCUCUUGAAGAAAAUUAGGGAAAACUUGUCCAGCCCCGAGGCGAUGUCCUUCCCAGUAACCAUAGCGCCUCCCGAAUCUCCUCAGCCGACACAAGUCUGAUUAAAGCUGCAAUCUCCUCCUCACGUGACACUAGUCGAAAGUGGUGGCAUAAAAGGCUAACUCUCCCCGCUAGUCUGAUCUGUCCAUCUAGACCUUAAAAACUGCUCCAGCACCUAUCUAAUAGCAUCUAGAUCAUCUGUCAACUAGCCAUCUGAACCCCUAAUUUCUCUGAUGUUUCUAUGCCUUUUGAUGAUGGUCGACUGAUGAAAGAAUCUGGUGUUUUGAUCCUUCUCCCUGAUCCACUAGAUUCUAGACUUCUGCCUCCAAAACGUCUUCUGCUGGCAAAAAAGUGAG
rnacentral:lncRNA from 1 species